rnacentral:lncRNA from 1 species
AAAAAAAAAAAAAAAAAAAAAAACAAACCCACAAACAACUCCCAUAAAAGUUAACAUCCAUUUCCCAGCAAGCCUGAGGAGAAAAGCUAGUGAUUAAUAUAAUUAAAUGCAAGACUUAAGAAUCCAGGCCAAGAUUAAAGGAAUGUUUUGCAAAAUGGAUAACUAAUUUGUUUGGUCCAAAUUUGGGGGCGUUAUACACUUCCUUAUUACUACCAUAUUACAUGUUAUUAUCUUAUUACCAUAUUAAUUGCUUUGUUGGUUACCAUGUCAGGCAUUUGGUGCAACAUCAUAUUCCAUUUCAUAAUACUCCCAAAUAAGAUGCAGAACAACAGUUUAUAUUUUACCUAGGCUUCUUUUUAUUUUUACUUCCUAGAUGAUGUUGAAAAUGAGUACAGUUCCUAUCACAAAAAUUUUACAAUGAGAGUUUGAACAUUGGGUGUGUGCCUAUGGUCCCAGCUACUCAAAGGAUUGAGGUGGGAGGAUCACUUGAGCCCAGAAAUUUGAGAUCAGUCCGAGUAACAUAGUCAGACUUCAUUUCAGAAUGAAAUAAAAUCGGAAGAUGAGUUGUCUUUGAGGCUCCUGAGAUGUUUUUCAGUUACUUCUAGUGUACCUCCUGCUUGCUGUGUUAGUGAUUCCUUUGUGUGUGCUUGCAUCUGUGUGUGCAUGCGUGUGUGCUGGGGGGGUCCUCACUUCCUCUUCCAGGUAGUGAUGGAUUGUGACAUCUUCACUCAGAACACUAUGACCUAGAUCCCUCUUGAGGGUCUCUGGUCACACUGUCCCUCACAUGACAAUGAACCACUGAUUUUCAGGCUGGCUGACAGAUGACAGCACAGACUCUCCUUUUUAACAACUUUCAGUGUCUCUUUGACUGGCAGCAUGGGGAGAGAGACAUCGGGCUUUUCAGUGCUCAGCUCUAAGGCCAAUUGCGUUUGGCCAGAAGCCACUUCAAGGCAGUUCUGUUUACCUUCAAGUAGCGCACAUGUUAGCUAUGCUGCUGGGCACUUGUUAGUUUUUAUCACAGCCUUAGUCCAAACCACCAUCUCCUCAUACUUGGAAUAAUACAGCAGCUUCCAUAGACGUGUAGCCUGGUAAGUCUUUGGAUAUCAGUUUUGUUCCUCUAUAA